rnacentral:lncRNA from 1 species
UGAACUUCUCCAUCCAUUGUUGUAAGUGUCAGAGCACCGCCUGAAAAGGCUUUCUUGACCAUAUAUGGACAUUCAUAGCUUGGGGGUUCACUUGCCCCUGGAAUCGGGCACGAAAGACAAGACUUUCUUGAGCACAAGGUCACCUUCUCGGAACACGCGAGGCUUGACCUUCUUAUCGAAUGCUUUUUCACUCUCUGCUGAUAUGACUGACCAUGACACAUGGCAGUUGAUCUCUUCUUCUCGAUCGAAUUCAGCAUUAGUCAACUUGGGACUUUGAGGGUGCUAUUUUUUUCUUGGUUUUUUUUUUCUUUCUUUUCUUUCCUUUGAUUUUCUUUUGAUUUCUUUUGAUUUUGCACCCUCCUCUUUCGUUUUUUUUCCUUUUUUUUUGUUUUAUUGUUUUUUUUUGUUAUGCCCCAGUUGGCUGUUCUGCUGAUUCUCGAGAUGCAGCUGAGUGAUCUUCUUUUCUUGCUCAAGAAGUCGGGAAAUCUCGUCAGGAAUCCCUUCAACAUCAUCUUCUUCCGCUUCGAAUACAGGGAAUUCAAAAUUGGGAGAUGACGUCUGAUCACUAUGUUCAAUGGGUUUGAGAAACAACCUGCAUAAAGAUUUUGAGUAUAAAAAGCACUUUGAAAAUCAAACAAGACA